rnacentral:rRNA from 1 species
GGGGAGCAAACAGGAUUAAUACUGUAGUCCACCCUAAACGAUGGAUGCUGGCCUUGCAGCAUCGUUCAGUGGCGCAGCUAACGCAUUAAGCAUCCCGCCUGGGGAGUAGCCGCAAGGUUAAACUCAAAGGAAUUGACGGGGGCCCGCACAAGCGUGACAUGUGUUUAAUUCGAGGCACGCGAAGAACCUUACCAGCCCCUUGACAUCCCGUUCGCGGAUCUAGAGNNAUGGAUCCUUCGGUUCGGCCAGGACGGUGAACAGGGUGCUGCAUGGCUGUCGUCAGGCUCGUGUCGUGAGAUGUUGGGUUAAGUCCCGCAACGAGGCGCAACCCUUGUCCCUAGUUGCCAGCAUUAAGUUGGGCACUCUAGGGAGACUGCCAGUGAUAAGCUGGAGGAAGGUGGGGAUGACGUCCAAGUCAUCAUGGCCCUUACGGGCUGGGCUACACACGUGCUACAAUGGUGGUGACAGUGGGCAGCCACUCCGNCAAGGAGGAGCUAAUCUCCAAAAGCCACCUCAGUUCGGAUUGCACUCUGCAACUCGGGUGCAUGAAGUUGGAAUCGCUAGUAAUCGUGGAUCAGCAUGCCACGGUGAUACGUUCCCGGGCAUUGUACACACCGCCCGUCACACCAUGGGAGUUGGUUUUACCACGAAGACGGUGCGCCAAC